rnacentral:lncRNA from 1 species
GAAAUAUUCUAUGAAUUGUAUCCUUAAUGUUUAAGGUAAACAUGGUAAAAAUUUCUUAGCUAGACUAAGAAAUUCAUUAAUAAUCCUAAAAACUAGAAAAAUUUACUCUCAUUUUAGUCUUCUGACAUAAGAAGGGUUGGUGAUAAACAACAGAUAAUGAAAUUGACUAAAAGAUGGUGUGAAUAACAAAAUGCUCCAUGAAAUGAAAAUUUGUUUAUCCUGGCUGUGACAAUAAAGAGGACAUUCAUGUCUGCAUAAUAGUGUCUCAAAGGAUGGACAGAUGUUAUUUACAGAGGUAGGUAAGCAAGGGAGCCAUGAAGAGCAGGCAUACAGAUGUUCACUCUUAACUGAGCCACAGAGGAAGACAAAGGGAGUUAGCCAUGCUUUGAAGAAGGCUUAUAAAUUCAGCUAUUCUUUGGAACAUAGAAGGUGAGGAAUUUUAAAUCACUGCCUCUUUCUGAGUGCACAGAACUCAAAAACUAUUCAGCACUGUCACUGGUGUCACCAGAACUAGGAAAACUCCAGAGGACAGCAAGGCCAGAGCAAGUAUCCAGAAUUUGACAUGUGUGUAGAAGAUACAUCAAAGGUCUCUGAAGAAUUGUUCUGGGAUUCUGAUGGACAGAAGAGAGGCUACCUUAAAUGUCCUCUCCUAAUAAUCAGAUUGAUGACUAAUUCAUGUGCCAUCGAAUAGCCUUCAUCCAGCAGCUGGUGGAAAUAGAAGAAGACACCCACAACUAAACCUUGAACUGAACUGAAAUCCAGUUGCAGAGAAGGAGGACUGAUGAGCAAAGGGGUCCACACCAGGCUGGUGAAACCCACAGAAACAGCUGACCUGAACAAGGGAGAGCUCUUGGUCCCCAGACUGAUAGCUGGGAAACCAGCAUCGGACUGAUCCAGACCCCCUGAAUGUGGGUGUCAGUGAGGAGACCUUGGACAUCUAUGGGACCUCUUAUAGUAGAUCAGUACUUAUUCCUAGCAUAGGAAUGGACUUUGGGAGCCCAUCCCACAUGGAGGGAUACUCCCUGAGCCUAGACAAAAGGGGGUUGGCCUAAUCCCUAUCCCUAAGAAUAAGACAGACUUUGAAGCUCCCCUAUGGAAGGCCUCACCCUCCCUUGGGAGCAGAAAGGGUAUUGGAUAGGUAGGGUGUUAGUUAUGGGGGGCAAUGAAGGAGGGGAGGGAAAUGGACCUGGGAUUGACAUGUACAAUAAUUUUCUUUUUAAUUAAAAUAAAAAAGCUUAAUAGAAAAUGGAAUAGACUCAGUUCACAUAAAAAAAAAGAAUG